rnacentral:rRNA from 1 species
UUAGAAUUGACGGACCCGCACAAGCGGUGGAUCAUUGUUGUUUAAUUCGAUGAUACGCGAAGAACCUUACCAGGUCUUGACAUCCCCUGCAAAGCUAUAGAGAUAUAGUGGAGGUUAUCAGGGAGACAGGUGGUGCAUGGUUGUCGUCAGCUCGUGUCGUGAGAUGUUGGGUUAAGUCCCGCAACGAGCGCAACCCUUAUCUUUAAUUGCCAGCAUUCAGUUGGGCACUUUAAAGAGACUGCCGGUGUUAAACCGGAGGAAGGUGGGGAUGACGUCAAGUCCUCAUGGCCUUUAUGCUUAGGGCUACACACGUGCUACAAUGGGUGGUACAAAGAGAAGCCAACUCGCGAGAGCGCGCCAAUCUCAAAAAGCCAUCCUCAGUUCGGAUUGGAGUCUGCAACUCGACUCCAUGAAGUUGGAAUCGCUAGUAAUCGCGGAUCAGCAUGCCGCGGUGAAUACGUUCCCGGGCCUU